GGAUGCGAUCAUACCAGCACUGAAGCACCGGAUCCCAUCAGAACUUCGUAGUUAAGCGUGCUUGGGUGAGAGUAGUACUAGGAUGGGUGACCUCUUGGGAAGUCCUCGUGUUGCAUUCC
rnacentral:rRNA from 2 species